ensembl:snoRNA SNORD58 Small nucleolar RNA SNORD58
CUGCACUGAUGACCAUCUUAGGACACCUUUGGAGUCAAGAUGAAACUAAUAUUACAAUCUGAGCAGC